AGCGAACGCUGGCGGCAGGCCUAACACAUGCAAGUCGAACGACCCUUUCGGGGUUAGUGGCGGACGGGUGAGUAACACGUGGGAACGUGCCUUUAGGUUCGGAAUAACUCAGGGAAACUUGUGCUAAUACCGAAUGUGCCCUUCGGGGGAAAGAUUUAUCGCAUUUAGAGCGGCCCGCGUCUGAUUAGCUAGUUGGUUGAGGUAAUGGCUCACCAAGGCGACGAUCAGUAGCUGGUCUGAGAGGAUGAUCAGCCACAUUGGGACUGAGACACGGCCCAAACUCCUACGGGAGGCAGCAGUGGGGAAUCUUGCGCAAUGGGCGAAAGCCUGACGCAGCCAUGCCGCGUGAAUGAUGAAGGUCUUAGGAUUGUAAAAUUCUUUCACCGGGGACGAUAAUGACGGUACCCGGAGAAGAAGCCCCGGCUAACUUCGUG
rnacentral:rRNA from 1 species